rnacentral:rRNA from 1 species
GACGAACGCUGGCGGCGUGCCUAAUACAUGUAAGUCGAGCGAGCUGAACCAGCAGAUUCACUUCGGUGAUGACGCUGGGAACGCGAGCGGCGGAUGGGUGAGUAACACGUGGGUAACCUGCCCUAAAGUCUGGGAUACCACUUGGAAACAGGUGCUAAUACCGGAUAACAACAAUAGCUGCAUGGCUAUUGCUCAAAAGGCGGCGAAAGCUGUCGCUAAAGGAUGGACCCGCGGUGCAUUAGCUAGUUGGUAAGGUAACGGCUUACCAAGGCGACGAUGGAUAGCCGAGUUGAGAGACUGAUCGGCCACAUUGGGACUGAGACACGGCCCAAACUCCUACGGGAGGCAGCAGUAGGGAAUCUUCCACAAUGGGCGAAAGCCUGAUGGAGCAACGCCGCGUGAGUGAAGAAGGUUUUCGGAUCGUAAAGCUCUGUUGUUGGUGAAGAAGGAUAGAGGUAGUAACUGGCCCCUAUUUGACGGUAAUCAACCAGAAAGUCACGGCUAACUACGUGCCAGCCGCCGCGGUAA